UUUUGAAAUUCAAUGAUUGGAAAUGAGUAUUAGAAAAGAUAAACAGCAACUUGGUUUUAUAAUGACAGAGCUCUCUCUUUGGAAAUUACUUCCACAGAUUAGAUUCCUAAACCUAAGGGUGAGGUGCAAGGGAACAAUAAGGACUUCACUUUAUAGAAAACCAAAUACAAUCACUUCAUAAGGAGCAAUGGGACUUUAGGUGGGCUAUAUGAAUCUAUUUCCUCAUUCCCACCCAGGUUUAGAAUUACAUCCUCAAAAAGAUCCAGGGUUGCCAAGUCCAAUUUAAUAAAUUCCACAUAUGUAAGUUCAUAUUUCCUAGCAACUAUAGCUGUUAUCCAACUCAACUGCGCCUACUUAUUAGCCAUCUUAAUCAUUACACAAGUAGCCCCAGAAAAAAACAGGUACUAACCAGCAAUAUCAGUCGCAUAUCACAGACUAUUUUACAUGAUAAAAUGCAGCAAAUAUCCCAACUUAAAAAUUAUUCACACAAAUCCUUAUCUCAACCAACCCAUAACCAAAUUGAAUCACAAAAGACGAAAUCUAUGCUGAACUCCAAUCACCAGUCGCAGCGAAUGAACUCUAUUCAUAAACAUAUCAGGGCCAUAAACAGAACGCGUCUUGUCUUACAACGUAAGAAAGACCUUAACUUUCUCCUCGUUGUGCCAAAAUUAAAUAAAACGCUCAAAAUUGAAAAUACCCAAAAAAAACCAAAAAUCAAUUACAACAGGUAAUCACGCGCCCGUACAUACACAGAUAUAUAAACACAAACCUGAACCUUAUUCGUUAUUGGAAAUGAUUCCCUUGAACCGAUCUCUUAGCCCAAAACAGAUCGCAAUCGCGGAGAGAGAGAGAGAGAGAGAG
rnacentral:misc_RNA from 1 species